UACGGAGGGUGCGAGCGUUGUCCGGAAUCACUGGGCGUAAAGGGCGCGUAGGUGGCCCGUUAAGUGGCUGGUGAAAUCCCGCGGCUCAACUGCGGGGCUGCCGGUCAUACUGGCGAGCUAGAGCACGGUAGGGGCAGAUGGAAUUCCCGGUGUAGCGGUGGAAUGCGUAGAGAUCGGGAAGAAUACCAGUGGCGAAGGCGUUCUGCCGGGCCGUUGCUGACACUGAGGCGCGACAGCGUGGGGAGCAAACAGG
rnacentral:rRNA from 1 species